AUUGAACGCUAGCGGGAUGCUUUACACAUGCAAGUCGAACGAGUGGCGGACGGGUGAGUACUAUAUCGGAACGUGCCCAGUAGCGGGGUAUAACUACUCGAAAGAGUGGCUAAUCCCGCAUCCUAUUGUAGCGGCCGAUAUCGGAUUAGCUAGUUGGUGGGGUAAAGGCUCACCAAGGCCACGAUCCGUAGCUGGUUUGAGAGGAAGACCAGCCACACUGGGACUGAGACACGGCCCAGACUCCUACGGGAGGCAGCAGUGGGGAAUUUUGGACAAUGGGCGAAACCCUGAUGCAGCCAUCCCGCGUGUAUGAGAAGGCCUUCGGGUUGUAAAGUACUUUUGGCAGAGAAGCGGUAUCUGCAGAAUAAGCACCGGCUAACUACGUGCCAGCCGCCGCGGUAAUAC
rnacentral:rRNA from 1 species